rnacentral:rRNA from 1 species
UACAGAGGGGGCGAGCGUUGUUCGGAAUUACUGGGCGUAAAGGGCGCGUAGGCGGCCUGCUAAGUCGGACGUGAAAUCCCUCGGCUCAACCGGGGAACUGCGUCCGAUACUGGCGGGCUUGAAUCCGGGAGAGGAAUGGGGAAUUCCAGGUGUAGCGGUGAAAUGCGUAGAUAUCUGGAGGAACACCGGUGGCGAAGGCGGCAUUCUGGACCGGCAUUGACGCUGAUGCGCGAAAGCCAGGGGAGCAAACGGG